AUCCAGCCAACGAGUCCCAAAUGGGACGAAACGAGCGUCCUGGAA
rfam:Schistosoma mansoni strain Puerto Rico chromosome 3, complete genome